GAGUGGUGACAGUGGAUGAUGCG
rnacentral:siRNA from 1 species